GGUACUUGAUAAUUUGUUAUUUUAAUUUUAAAUUGCUCUUUUUUUUUUCUUUUUUCUCGUCUUGUCAAGAUGCUCUCUUCAGCUUAGGCUAAUUGAUGGUGGUAGCCUUCCCCAUCUCAUACAUUCCGCAUCCCCCACCCUCUUGGGAUUUGAACUCUAUACUUUUCAAUUGGAAGUUUGAGUUCCAACCGUUUCAGAAUCCUCUUGGGGAGAUUUUUAGGUAUUUCUUAGCUGAAGUUGUAGAGCCCAUUUCCUAUUGCAUUCUUUCUGAUAGUUCAGUGCAUUUGAGGAAAUCAAAAAUAUUCUCUAAAUGUACAGUCCAUUCAGGUUUUUCUUAGCUUUAGUCUAAUUCCAGAUUGAUUCCCUGCUACAUACCUGUGUGGUUGCAUUCACACUGAAGUUGAAUCAAUUGCUUGUGAAGAGAAACAGGGAUUUUUUUUUUCCCUUCCUUUUGGUUUCUGGAAGUGAGUUAUUGUGUUCUCUCUCUGUCUCUCUCAAUCUCAAGUCUCACCCUUUCUCCGCUUGUGAUAAACCUGUCUUUAACAGUGCUGAAAAACCUGAAAUGCCAGUGUCUCAAGGGCUUACUGUUCCUUGUAGGGUCUUUCACUUAAGAACAACCAUUUUACCAGCUGAGGAAGACAUGCCAGCAAUCA
rnacentral:misc_RNA from 1 species